CACGUAGGUGGCAUCGUAAGUCAAAGGUGAAAGCCCUCGGCUCAACCGGGGAAUUGCCUUUGAAACUGCGUUGCUUGAGUCCGGGAGGGGGGAGCGGAAUUCCCAGUGGAGCGGUGAAAUGCGUAGAUACUGGGAGGAACACCGGUGGCGAAGGCGGCUCCCUGGACCGGUACUGACACUGAGGUGCGAAAGCGUGGGUAGCAAACA
rnacentral:rRNA from 1 species